CCUACGGGAGGCUGCAGUGGGGAAUCUUCCGCAAUGGGCGAAAGCCUGACGCAGCAACGCCGCGUGAACGAAUGAAGGCCUUCGGGUUGUAAAGAUCUGUUGCCAGGGGCGAAUAAGCAAUGCGAAUAGUUUUGUGUAUGACGGUACCUGUUUAGAAAGCUCCCGCUAACUACGUGCCAGCCGCCGCGGUAAUACGGAGGGAGCAAGCGUUGUCCGGAAUUACUGGGGGUAAAGGGCGCGUAGGUGGGCGCUUAAGUCAGGUGUGAAAGCGCCGGGCUCAACCUGGAGACUGCAAUUGAAACUGGGUGUCUUGAGUGCAGGAGAGGAAAGUGGAAUUCCUAGUGUAGCGGUGAAAUGCGUAGAUAUUAGGAGGAACACCAGUGGCGAAGGCGACUUUCUGGACUGUACCUGACGCUGAGGCGCGAAAGCGUGGGUAGCGAACGGGAUUAGAUACCCGGGUAGUC
rnacentral:rRNA from 1 species